ensembl:lncRNA
UGUUCUUUAGCACAAAAGAAUUCCAUCCUGUUGCUGUGCCAGGAGCCUCAUCAUAAAAAUUUAACUUUGCUUGUGGUAGUCCUACUAAUUAACACCUGGGUUCUCUGGGAAUGGGUCGGUAGGUAAGACUGGGUGUGUUCUGUUGACAGCCACUACCUUCACUUGCCUCAGGUAUUGCAAUCUGGCAACAUCUGUUUCACUAGCAGAAAGGAUUACACCUACGUGCCUCCUCCUUGCUGUGUUAAUUGGUUUUUAUCCCUUUUAAUACAUCAGAUUUGUGUUGCUAACCUCGUCUGAGAUUUUCUCCACUGGAGUUGCUUUUCUGUCACCAGCUAAAAUAGGGAUGGCACAGUAUGAUAUUUUCUGUGUAACUUGAGGCAAGUAUCUGCUGCAAGAUUUUAUUGGAUGCUUCUUUGGCAGCUGGAACUGCUUUCUCUUCCCAAAGCAACAUCCUGAUUUCAGGAUUUCAGAAAGAAAAAGAACGCUCUGCAGUAGGUUUAACUGACAGAACAAGCUCUGUAGUGUAUCUGCCUGAAGAACCUUAUACUCCUAUCAGUAUCUGUCACCCUUUAUAUCUGUGGCUGUCUGUUGAACACAAAAGACUUUUCUUCCCCCCAGUAGCAUUGCCUUAGCUUUCAAUCAUUACUUAUAACACUUAACAGCUCUAAUCCACAUCAGUGUUGAAGAAGAUAUUGGAUUUUGUGUAAACAAAAAUCUUUGUAUGAUGAAAUCAAGUUGAGGCUGAGCCUGGGAUGAAAUGCUCACAUUGUUCAGAAAGAAAGAAAGUGGGAAUUAAUGUUACAAUGUUUGAAGCUUUGUAGGUAGGAGCAAAAGUCAAGACAGGCAUCACUUAGCAACGUCUCAUUGAUGUCACUGCUUAUAAUUUGACUACAUUAACAAAUAUGCUGGAUUGUUACAGGCUGCUCUGAAGAUCGUGUGUGUUCUUAUACUGCGAUAAAUCCAUAUUUCAUACUAACAAAUGAUAUCUCAUCCACUAGAUGGCUCUGUUGGUAAUGAAAUAUGGGAAACCAGAACCCUCUGGAAGGAAAAAAUGUAAUGAACAUAACUUCUGGUGUAAACUCCAUCAGCACAGUGCUCUUAAAAGCUCUAGCAUGAAAAUACUGAGCUUAUUUUCUUUUCUCUUCAGUGCUUCCCUGAGUGCUGGCUUCAUAGUCACCCAGGUUAUUUUGGUUUGGUUCUGUGUUUCCUUCACACUUGGCUAACUAGUGUAGAUGCCUUUGAAGUACUCACGUGGGACAGAGAAGCUACACUGCUGCCAGGUAGAAGUUCACCUGUUG